rnacentral:misc_RNA from 1 species
CUCAAUUCACCACUCCUAAUAUCCCUGAGUCUUCUUCUUAAUACAUUUUGAGCACGGAAUAGUAUUCUCCGCUCACUGUUACACAAGUCUACUGCCAGCUGUUUCAGGAACAAGUUGCUUUGGAGAUGUUACAUCCAAAUCCAUUGUUCCACUUGCCUGCAAGAAUUUGGUGUACUUUGAUAUGCUCAACUCACAACUAUCCAAUAUGAACUGUAAUGUCGGUUCCUCAAUUUCAGGGUAUCUUAAAUCCUUCUUCAUGCCUGUCUUAUUUGAUGCUGCUGCAGCCAUCUCUUCGAACUGUCUGCUCAUACUUGGAGGGCUGACUGCUAAAAAGCUGUACGCCAUUAAUUCCACCGGCCAACCAGUGAUUCGCAAAGGAAAACACUGAGAUGCUGAUAAACCAUGCUUCCUUAGAGCUUCUAACUUCUCCUUGUAACAUUUGUCAGAUUUCUUCAAAGACAAUGACAGCUCUA